GAAGGUCAGGCUGAAGACCUUACCCGAUUAGCUGAGAGGUGGUGCAUGGCCGUCGUCAGUUCGUACUGUGAAGCAUCCUGUUAAGUCAGGCAACGAGCGAGACCCACGUCCACAGUUGCCAGCAUACCCUCCGGGGUGAUGGGUACACUGUGGAGACCGCCGCUGCUAAAGCGGAGGAAGGAGUGGGCAACGGUAGGUCAGUAUGCCCCGAAUCUCCCGGGCUACACGCGGGCUACAAUGGUUGGUACAAUGGGCAUCUACCCCGAAAGGGGAAGGAAAUCUCUUAAAGCCAAUCGUAGUUCGGAUUGAGGGCUGCAACUCGCCCUCAUGAAGCUGGAAUCGCUAGUAAUCGUGGAUCAGCCAAGCCGCGGUGAAUACGUUCCCGGGCCUU
rnacentral:rRNA from 1 species